rnacentral:rRNA from 1 species
AAAUGAAUUGACGGGGGCCCGCACAAGCGGUGGAGCAUGUGGUUCAAUUCGACGCAACGCGAAGAACCUUACCCAGGCUCGAACGGUAGUGGACAUCCGGCGAAAGUCGGCUCCCGCAAGGGCCGCUAUCGAGGUGCUGCAUGGCUGUCGUCAGCUCGUGUCGUGAGAUGUUGGGUUAAGUCCCGCAACGAGCGCAACCCUUGUCCGCUGUUGCCAUCAGGUAAUGCUGGGCACUCUGCGGAGACUGCCGGUGAUAAACCGGAGGAAGGUGGGGAUGACGUCAAGUCAGCAUGGCCUUUAUGUCUGGGGCUACACACGUGCUACAAUGGCCGGUACAAACCGUCGCGAUACCGUGAGGUGGAGCUAAUCGGACAAAGCCGGUCUCAGUUCGGAUUGCAGGCUGCAACUCGCCUGCAUGAAGUUGGAAUCGCUAGUAAUCGCGGAUCAGCACGCCGCGGUGAAUACGUUCCCGGGCCUUGUACACACCGCCCGU